rnacentral:rRNA from 1 species
GAUGAACGCUGGCGGCGUGCCUAAUACAUGCAAGUCGAGCGAACGGACGAGAAGCUCGCUUCUCUGAUGUUAGCGGCGGACGGGUGAGUAACACGUGGAUAACCUACCUAUAAGACUGGGAUAACUUCGGGAAACCGGAGCUAAUACCGGAUAAUAUUUUGAACCGCAUGGUUCAAAAGUGAAAGACGGUCUUGCUGUCACUUAUAGAUGGAUCCGCGCUGCAUUAGCUAGUUGGUAAGGUAACGGCUUACCAAGGCAACGAUGCAUAGCCGACCUGAGAGGGUGAUCGGCCACACUGGAACUGAGACACGGUCCAGACUCCUACGGGAGGCAGCAGUAGGGAAUCUUCCGCAAUGGGCGAAAGCCUGACGGAGCAACGCCGCGUGAGUGAUGAAGGUCUUCGGAUCGUAAAACUCUGUUAUUAGGGAAGAGCAUAUGUGUAAGUAACUGUGCACAUCUUGACGGUACCUAAUCAGAAAGCCACGGCUAACUACGU